CUGAUUUCAAACGUGACCUCAUGCGCAGCCUUUUAUCUUAUUGCAUCUCUUACCUUCGCUAUACAUCCAUAUCUAUUUUACGUCAAAACUUCAUGCCUGCAUUUUUCUUCCAUUUUAGGUCCAGUCAGAACAUAGAUAAAAAUAAGAUGACGUUUUCCACUACUGCACCAUCAAAACCUCCUGACAAUGCUUCCCCUUCAGAGAAUGCCACAACCCAUGUACCUGCCUUGUCCCCUGCCUUGCCUGCCUAUAACAUAGUAGUCUGUUUCAACCCACCUUGUUUUUCUACCUGUUGCUCUUCUGUUCCCAACAACAUGUCUACUCCUGGACCUUCUGGGACCACUACAGUCUCCACCAACCGGAUAGACCAAAGCUUCGUGUCACUCCUACCAGUGACAAACAUCAAAGCCAAAUCGAGGGGGAUCACUGGCAAGACAGCUUCCCACACAAAGUGGCCAAAGACUGCUGACCGAUCACGGGGCUUUGGGGGUCUCAAUGCCAGCCCCUCCUCCCUCUUCACCAACAUCCAGGGCAAGUCCAAAUAUAUUGCCAACCUCCCCCUCACAUACAACAGCGUUCCUUCUGAUCAGGCAUCACGGCAGCGGCGGAGCGUCAGCCAACCAGAUGCUAAGGAGCCUGGCAUCGCAAGCACCAAACCUAAUGGUAGACAUCUUUCCUAUUUUCUCUGA
rnacentral:lncRNA from 1 species